CCUACGGGAGGCAGCAGUGGGGAAUAUUGCACAAUGGGCGAAAGCCUGAUGCAGCGACGCCGCGUGAGGGAUGACGGCCUUCGGGUUGUAAACCUCUUUCAGCAGGGAAGAAGCGAAAGUGACGGUACCUGCAGAAGAAGCGCCGGCUAACUACGUGCCAGCAGCCGCGGUAAUACGUAGGGCGCAAGCGUUGUCCGGAAUUAUUGGGCGUAAAGAGCUCGUAGGCGGCUUGUCACGUCGGAUGUGAAAGCCCGAGGCUUAACCUCGGGUCUGCAUUCGAUACGGGCUAGCUAGAGUGUGGUAGGGGAGAUCGGAAUUCCUGGUGUAGCGGUGAAAUGCGCAGAUAUCAGGAGGAACACCGGUGGCGAAGGCGGAUCUCUGGGCCAUUACUGACGCUGAGGAGCGAAAGCGUAGGGGAGCGAACAGGAUUAGAUACCCUGGUAGUCCACGCCGUAAACGUUGGGAACUAGGUGUUGGCGACAUUCCACGUCGUCGGUGCCGCAGCUAACGCAUUAAGUUCCCCGCCUGGGGAGUACGGCCGCAAGGCUAAAACUCAAACGAGUAGUAGCGUCGAGAGCGCGACGAGACACGACGGAGGUUAGG
rnacentral:rRNA from 1 species